rnacentral:tRNA from 2 species
GGGUAGCCGCUGGCGGGAUGGAAUGAUCCUCGCGGCGCUGGGCAAGCCGACAAGGCUUGGUUCGGGUUCGGGUUCGAUUCCCGACUACCCACCA